GACGAACGCUGGCGGCGUGCUUAACACAUGCAAGUCGAACGGUAAGGCCCUUCGGGGUACACGAGUGGCGAACGGGUGAGUAACACGUGGGUGAUCUGCCCUGCACUUCGGGAUAAGACCGGGAAACUGGGGCUAAUACCGGAUAGGACCACUGCCUGCAUGGGUGGUGGUGGAAAGCUUUUGCGGUGUGGGAUGGGCCCGCGGCCUAUCAGCUUGUUGGUGGGGUGAUGGCCUACCAAGGCGACGACGGGUAGCCGGCCUGAGAGGGUGACCGGCCACACUGGGACUGAGAUACGGCCCAGACUCCUACGGGAGGCAGCAGUGGGGAAUAUUGCACAAUGGGCGCAAGCCUGAUGCAGCGACGCCGCGUGAGGGAUGACGGCCUUCGGGUUGUAAACCUCUUUCAGCACCGACGAAGCGCAAGUGACGGUAGGUGCAGAAGAAGGACCGGCCAACUACGUGCCAGCCGCCGCGGUAA
rnacentral:rRNA from 1 species